UGAGGAAUAUUGCGCAAUGGGGGCAACCCUGACGCAGCGACGCCGCGUGAGUGAGGAAGGCCUUCGGGUCGUAAAGCUCUGUCAAAGGGAAAGAAGUGCAUGGUGGCUAAUACCUGCCAUGUUUGACGGUACCCUUAAAGGAAGCACCGGCUAACUCCGUGCCAGCAGCCGCGGUAAUACGGAGGGUGCAAGCGUUGUUCGGAAUCACUGGGCGUAAAGGGCGCGUAGGCGGUUUGAUAAGUCAGAUGUGAAAGCCCACGGCUUAACUGUGGAAGUGCAUUUGAAACUGUCAGACUUGAGUAUCAGAGGGGAAAGUGGAAUUCCCGGUGUAGAGGUGAAAUUCGUAGAUAUCGGGAGGAAUACCGGUGGCGAAGGCGACUUUCUGGCUGAAUACUGACGCUGAGGCGCGAAAGCGUGGGGAGCAAACA
rnacentral:rRNA from 1 species